AGAGAGUGUGGCCUGCUUCUCAGCGAGAUGUAUUAUAUCUUUCUGCCAUUCGAAAAAUACCAGCCUUGACUGAAAAUGACCCUGAAACUUGGAUAGUGUGUAAUUUUUCUGUGGAUCAUGACAGUGCUCCUCUAAACAAUCGAUGUGUCCGUGCCAAAAUAAAUAUUGCUAUGAUUUGUCAAACCUUGGUAAGCCCACCAGAGGGAAACCAGGAGAUCAGCAGGGACAACAUUCUAUGCAAGAUUACAUAUGUAGCUAAUGUGAACCCUGGAGGAUGGGCACCAGCCUCAGUAUUAAGGGCAGUGGCAAAGUGAGAGUAUCCGAAGUUUCUAAAACGUUUUACAUCUUAUGUCCAAGAAAAAACUGCAGGAAAACCCAUUCUGUUCUAGUGUUAACAGUGACUGAAGCAAGGCUGUGUGACAUUCCGUGUUGGAAGAAAAAAUAAAAAACAAAAUUGAAUGCUCUAAGCUGGAACAUAGGAUCUAUAUAGCCUUGUCUGUGGCCCAACACCCUGGCCUUGUGUACAAAAAUGAAGAAAUAUUGCAAUAGCAAAGGUGAACAUCUAACACUAGCUGUCUCCUGCUAGAUCUCCUCGCUCAGCAUAUAACUAUAAACACAUGUAAAAAUUACA